GGAACCUGCCUUUCAGGCAUCCUCUCCUAAAACUUUCACGCCGCCCUUCGGGGCGGCUUUUUUUCGGAUAGC
rnacentral:sRNA from 1 species